GACUGUAAUAAAGUAGCAUAAUUAAUUAUCAUUUAAUUGGUGAAGAGAAUGAAUGGCUAAACGUAUGUCUCAUUGUCUUGGGAGAAAGUUUUUGAAAUUAGAAUAAUAGUGAAGAUCCUAUUUAAUACCGUUAGACGAAAAGACCCUAUAGAGCUUGACUAUAAUUUGGAAAUGACUUUCUAGGUUGGUAGUUUAGUUGGGGCGACUAUCUUUUAGAGUAAACAAAGAUAAGCAUGAUAAUAAAAAUUUUUAUUGUUUAAUUAAUAAAUUUAACAAUUACUAAUGUAGGCUAUAAUGACCCAUUAGAAUUAAAAUAAAUCUAAUGAUUAAUAAAUAAAAGCUACCUUAGGGAUAACAGGAUAAUUUUGUUUUAGAGAUCAUAUCAAAUACAAAGUUUGCACCUUUAUGUGGAAU
rnacentral:rRNA from 1 species